rnacentral:snRNA from 2 species
GUUAUUAGAGGGACAUCCAAUAAAAUUGGAACGAUACAAAGAAUAUUAGCAUGACCCCUGCACAAGGAUGACAUGCACAAAUCGAGAAAUGGUAUCGAUCAGA